UCCACAAAGUCGGAGACCUUGACCAUCUGUGGGAGCAACCUGCUUCAGAAAAAUCCAGUUUCAUGCAUUAUUUUGAGCCCAUCUGGCUACUUUGCCAGUUUUGCAUUCCUUGUUCAUUUAUGAUAACGAAACACUUUGACUGGACUUAUCCGAUUAUGUUUGCUGCCAUCUAGUAUGCAAGUUUAAGGACGUCAGACCUUCAAAUGUUAAUUUCAAUUCCUAAAUCAGUUCAAGAGACUCCGUACAAGUUGCCACCAGUGGUGCGUUUAUCAAUAUCUUCUUCGACUGCGACAGAGUCGCAGAUUGAUCCACUGAUAUGUAGAGAGCUUUCAGUCUGCGUCUUCUAGAUAUGACGGUCAUUUUCUGUCAUCCAUCACAUCGAAAGCUUGAUUAGAUCAGUACUUAUCAAAACGCACGAAUAUCUCAUCCUGAUUUAAAUAGCUGUAGGGUAAAGCUGCUGCGUUCAAUCUUGUUACCCUGCAAACACACCAGUACCAGCUCGCACUCGAGAAGCAAGAUACUGCAGAAGUGACGUGAUUAAUCGGAGCCUAUUUAAAUCCCAGCUCGAUGAUCUUGUUGUACUUGUGCACAGCAAUUGUGUGAAAGAGUACUGUCUUUUGCAUACGAUCCAGUACAGACAUCCUCGAGCCAGAUGUCAGAUAAGUCCAGUUCUGGUCUAGCCCUUCGCAAAAGUCUCAUCAGUUCUGUAAGAGUGGACGUCACCCUGCAGUACCAUACUACUAUCUGUAUUACCAGUGAUGCAGACUUUGUGAUAACAACUGUGAUAAUAUUUACCACUGCGUUUAGUCAGGUCAAUUUCACAAUUUCUUAAAUCUUCUUAUCGAGUGUGUUCUCCCAAGGUUUCUGAAAUUUAUCCUUAUGAAUCACUGGUUACCACUGUAAUGUGCAGAUUGCAAGAAGUACAUGAGACCUAGACAGAAGCGAUCUGACGAGGUGCGUAAUUUAGGAUUUGAAGUUUUGACAUGAGACAUCAAACUCGUCCUGUCAUUCCGCACCAAAAUGAGAACCCUACAGAGUGCUCUGUGUGAGGUCUCCUCUAUACCAUGAUGUAUAGUUAUUCCUUGAGGUAAUCUGAGGGAGUAAAAGAAUUACACAUGUACAGUACAGGACGUCUUUGACCCUGGUAUUCCGUCACUUCUCCUUGUGAUCUUUCAGGGUACUUGCUAGCGACCGCUCCACUUUUUGUUUUGUCAAUUAUGAGAGGAGUGUUCGAGAUUGGUAAAUUGUGUAACGGAACCUGUCCUGCAAUGCUAAAGAUAACUUGGUCCAAACACCAGAUUGGGCACGUAAUUCAUAGCUUCAAAAUUAUGCAAAUAACUUGAUGCGCUUGUCUUUUCACAUGGUUUUGUGGGACUGUAAAUGCGGGCAAGCUAUUAUUAUGCUCUCCAGAAACAGGCGCAAACAUAUAGAGCUAUGGUUUCAAACAAUGAAACCAGGAAUUGGCCUCUUUUGUUGGCUGAUUCCAAGAGGAGUCGGUUUUUCUACACAGACAUCUCAGUUCAUAUGAUUAAAACGUUCAUUGUCUUAUCCUU